UACGGAGGAUCCAAGCGUUAUCCGGAAUCAUUGGGCGUAAAGGGUCCGUAGGCGGGAUAAUAAGUCAGCGGUGAAAGUCUGUGGCUCAACCAUAGAAUUGCCAUUGAUACUGUUGUUCUUGAGUGCUGAUGAGGUGGUUAGAAUAUGUGGUGUAGCGGUGAAAUGCAUAGAUAUUACAUAGAAUACCGAUUGCGAAGGCAGAUCACUAAUAAUUUACUGACGCUGAUGGACGAAAGCGUAGGUAGCGAACAGG
rnacentral:misc_RNA from 1 species